UAUACAUGCAGUCGAGCGGACAGAAGGGAGCUUGCUCCCGGAUGUUAGCGGCGGACGGGUGAGUAACACGUGGGUAACCUGCCUGUAAGACUGGGAUAACUCCGGGAAACCGGAGCUAAUACCGGAUAGUUCCUUGAACCGCAUGGUUCAAGGAUGAAAGACGGUUUCGGCUGUCACUUACAGAUGGACCCGCGGCGCAUUAGCUAGUUGGUGAGGUAACGGCUCACCAAGGCGACGAUGCGUAGCCGACCUGAGAGGGUGAUCGGCCACACUGGGACUGAGACACGGCCCAGACUCCUACGGGAGGCAGCAGUAGGGAAUCUUCCGCAAUGGACGAAAGUCUGACGGAGCAACGCCGCGUGAGUGAUGAAGGUUUUCGGAUCGUAAAGCUCUGUUGUUAGGGAAGAACAAGUGCAAGAGUAACUGCUUGCACCUUGACGGUACCUAACCAGAAAGCCACGGCUAACUACGUGCCAGCAGCCGCGGUAAUACGUAGGUGGCAAGCGUUGUCCGGAAUUAUUGGGCGUAAAGGGCUCGCAGGCGGUUUCUUAAGUCUGAUGUGAAAGCCCCCGGCUCAACCGGGGAGGGUCAUUGGAAACUGGGAAACUUGAGUGCAGAAGAGGAGAGUGGAAUUCCACGUGUAGCGGUGAAAUGCGUAGAGAUGUGGAGGAACACCAGUGGCGAAGGCGACUCUCUGGUCUGUAACUGACGCUGAGGAGCGAAAGCGUGGGGAGCGAACAGGAUUAGAUACCCUGGUAGUCC
rnacentral:rRNA from 1 species